CAUUUAAGGUAAUUGGCACGGAUUAUGCAGGACCGCUUUAUUACAAGUCAUCCACUGGUGCACUCUAAGAAAUUUCGUUGAAAAAGACAUUUACAUGAACCGUUGAUGUAAAAUUUUACAGAACCAUUUGUAGAGCCGCUUUAACAGGGCUGCUCGGUCAAUCCACACAAAAAUGGUCGCUGAGGCGGUCUCCGCUGCGGAGAGUCGGAGUAUGUUUUGCAACAGUCAAGUAGCCCCGCAGAAGAACCUAGAUACAGAAGUUGGAAGCAGGACUCGCCCAACACGACAGUUCGCCCCCACCGUUAUUGCUUUGAAGCAGGAACAGCGCACGAACGUUCAAAGUGUCGACGGACGCCGUGGCAACCGUCAUUCGCCUUUCUCUUCGCCUGCGCUGCAGUUCUGUUGAAGCGUUGAUGACGAACAAAUGUAAGCUGCAACAUCGAUGUCUUCACGUACGAGUUACUUUAGACAUCAAAAGGCAACAUCCUAAUGUCAGAAAGUAUACGUUUCCAUGUUUUGCGUCUGAAUGCAAUGCGAAGCGUUUUCUUCACAUUCCGUUUUCUCUUCCCAGUGCCUAAGAAAUCCUGCUCGUAAAAAGCAACAACUGCCGGCUCCAACGAUUUUCAGCAUGGAGGAGACUGAGUCAUUUCUUCUUGAAGAAUUGCAGGUACCGACAGAAAACGGAGCAUACAAGACGUGAUCUUCUCCUGUAGCAGUGCACGUUGCUCUCCAGGCAGGACAACCAAUCCAGGAUAUCUCUGUUCCAUCCACGCUAGUCAUAUAUUAGAAAUUGGCAGGAGAAACACUGCAGGGUGUCGCUCUUCCACCCAUGCCAGUCAUAUUAUCAAUUGAUGCUUCCUUGAGGUCUAUCAACCGGUGGGAGCUACGUGAAUGCACAAGAAGCAUUGUUCGAGCACAGAGAAGGUUCUCUUGUUGGGGGCAUCAAGCAGCAUCAAAUGCUUGGAUGCUUGAAUAGACCCUCAGAGUAGCCCCUCUGCACAUGAGAAGAGUUAAUUUAUGAUUGCAAGUGUGUGGAACUACAGGAAGA